UACGUAGGGAGCAAGCGUUGUCCGGAAUCAUUGGGCGUAAAGCGCACGUAGGCGGAUUUGUAAGUCAGGGGUGAAAUCCCGGGGCUCAACCUCGGAACUGCCUUUGAUACUGCAAGUCUCGAGUCCGAUAGAGGUGAGUGGAAUUCCUAGUGUAGAGGUGAAAUUCGUAGAUAUUAGGAAGAACACCAGUGGCGAAGGCGGCUCACUGGAUCGGUACUGACGCUGAGGUGCGAAAGCGUGGGGAGCAAACAGG
rnacentral:rRNA from 1 species